rnacentral:misc_RNA from 1 species
AGGGGAAAUAAUGCUUGCCUACUACAAACACUGGUAAGAGUUACCCAACAUGAGCAGCUCGUCGUGGUAACUGUUUGACAUGAUAGCAAACUAACCAAGGAUGUAAUCUCCAAGAAAACUAUAUCGACGAGUGAAGAGCCACCAGAGGGGAUGGCACAUGCUGGUGUGAUGGGUGGGGUGGGGUUUGGGGUGGGUCAGUCAUUGGGAACAUCCCUUCCAGUGGCAUCUGCUCUGCCACGUCUGGUGCAAGAAACAGAGAUACAGAAGCUUCUGACUGAUGAGCGUAUACGCAGUGAGCAACACAAGACCAACUACCAGCAGCUAAAAGCAGAACAUAGCAGGCUACAAGAAGAAUACCUGUCUCUUCAAGAAGAAGUAAAAGCAACUGUUGAGGAGAGUCGCAUUGUGCAGGAAAAGUAUCGCUCCAUGUACGAAACUUGCCGACGAGAACUUGUGGACAGGCAGGCCCUGCUUGAUGAUCUCCGGACAAAGGUAAUGACACCUCAGAGGCUGGAGAUUGUGCGAAGUCAGGUGUUGGAGGAGGUGGAACGCAGUUAUCAGGAGCGGUACUUGAAACAAGAACAGGAGGUGGAAGAAGCCAGAGCAGCUGUCAACAGGCUGCGGUAUGAGUUAUCCUUUGUGAAGGCCGAGUACGAGCAUGGCAAGACUGAUUAUGGGAGACAACUGCAGGAACUUAAGAUGCAGCAUGAGCUGGAACUGACCAAUCUUCGUAAAGAACGAGAUGCUACUUUGAGUAAAGUUCAAGCAGAAUCCAGCAGUGAUGCCAACAAAGUGCGUGUUCUUCAGCGUGACAACACUGCUCUUCACAUGCGCUUGAAAGGUCUGCUAGCUGAGGUUGACGAACUGCGAGCAGAGAAAGAAAAAGUCACUCUGGACUCAGACAGCGCACAACGCACCCAGGCCAAGCAGAUCGGUGAAUUGCAGGCAACCAUAAGGUCACUGGAGGUUGAGAGGGAGUCAUUGAAGCGCCAAAAUGAGGCAUUUCAGAAUGAGAUUCUGACCCAUGGUGCUGACAUGGCAAAGCUUCGUGCUAAUGUUCAUGAACUGGAGCGGGACCUAAUGGCAGUGCGUGGCCAGGCGGAGGAAGCAGCCCACCGGGCACAGGUGCAGCUCAGUGACCUCAAACUCGACAUGGUGCGUCAGCGUGGAGAGCUAGAGAAGGAGAGAGACAAGCUGGCCAAUCUUGUUGAGGACCUACGAACACAAGUGGAGAUUGCUGAGCACAAGGUGAGACAGCUGCAGGUGGCACUGGACAACAAGGAACGUGAGUCUGUGCACCGUGUCACGGCUGCUCAUGAAGAAGAGUUUGUCAAGAUAGCCAAGACAGAGAAUGAGAAGUUUGAGCUAGAAACAAAACUCCAGGAAAUGGAACGGCGCAAAAUUGAUGAUGAUGCUCGUCGGCAUGCAGAACAAGAGAAACUUGUCCAGCGCAUGCAGGCAGCACUUGUAGAGAGAGAGCAGGCUGAGAGAGAAGUAGCUGUCUUAAAGGCACGCCUUGAGAAGUAUGACGCAUUACAGGAUCAAGUAGAGCGUGAGAGGAGCGAGAACACAGAACUGAGAGCCAGACUCCAUCAGCUGGAGGUUGAGCAGGCAGCGGCUGUCAGACAGGAGCAGGACCUAACAGAUCAGAUGAUCAAACUCCGUAAUGAGGGAGAGCUGGCACGUGAAGAGCUACGCUUGACUCGGCAACAGCUGAACAAGUUGCAGACCAGCCAAGACCAACUUUUGUCUCAGCAGCGUGUGGCAAUGCAGGAGGAGCGAAGUCAUGCUGACAGUCGCCUCUCUGAGAUGGAGCAAAAGCUGUCUGAGUUGCAGUCCAAAUAUAGUCUGGCUGCUGGCAUACACAAAAAGCUGAAAAAAAAGUACAGCCGAGUUACAGAGUACCUGCGGGACAAAAUAACUGUACUGAAGGUGUCCAACCAUGAGCUGGACCUGGAGAAACAGGUUCUCCACAAGAACACUGUGGCCGCUGAUCAGCAUUUACGACUGAAGAAGCAGUGGAGAGACCUGUAUCAUCGACAUCAAGAGUUCCGCGCCAUUAUCUUGGGCUACUCACCGCGGGAUGUUAUCUUUGGUAAUAAAGGCCUUGUGAAGGGAGACAAUCCAUCAGACUUCACUCUGCCGAACAUGACUUUCAUGGAACAAGAGCUGGAAAAGCAGCAUCAGGAGGACCUGCGCAUGCUGCGAAAGCGCCUGGAUCACCUGGACUACUUGCAGACGGCACAGUUGGAGGAGCUGAGCAACAUUGCCCACUCAACACUGCUGGGAUCACAGGUGGAGCAGCAUGUCGAUGACUGUCCUGAUGGCUCAUUCGAGAAACAUGAUCUUGAGAAACCCACUUCUGCUGUGGAAGAAGUUUUUUGACUUGCAUGUUGCUGGCAGCAGGUGUAUUCUGUUGGAAGGGAAAGGGACAGAGAAGGAGGGUAGUGUGUGAUCUUUGAGAAAUUGCAGACAUCCUCCCUCAUAACCUCUCCUUACUAGGAGCUGUGACUGUGGUUGUAAGGGUCGCCUCUGAGCAAAGGAUGUCUUUAUAUGGGGGUAUUUGAUGUAGUCAGGCUGCCAUUAUCAUGGUGAUUUAAAUGAAGACAGCAUGUGCUGGAAAUAGGAUGAAGUCAUUUCUUAUUUUUGACAGCCUUUUGCAAAAGUUAUUGACCAAGUAAUUUUUGUACAUGCUGACUUACCACAGGAGUUGUAGAAUUGGUUAUUUCUAACCAGUCACAAUGUGAACCUACUCUUUUAAAUCAUAGUCGGGAAAACUACAUAUCAGAUGACCGUAGAGAGGGAAGCAAGUCUAUAGGAACAUUACCAAGCUACUGGCUACUUCACUGUAACAGGCAGUAUUUCAGUUCUGUUAACACAUCUUACAGGCCCGAUGUGAGGAAAAAGGCGAAUUUAGCAAUCUGCAGUUGAGAGUUUAAGAAAUGGAUGACUUGCUUUUUGCUGUCAGUUAUUUGGACUUGCAGGUACUAGAGAUUUUGUUCACAUUUCAGACUGUCCUGGUGUCUUCAGGCCUCAAAAUUAGAAAAACUUGACAUGAAAGGACUCAGAUGCAAUGCUACUCAUUUUCCAUCUGUACUACCUCAAACAUUUCCAUUAUAUCACUUCAAGAAAUCUUACCUUGAAAUAAGAAUUAACCAGCAAAUACUGCAAAAUAAUCAUAAACAAAUUGCAGAUGACCUUUUGAAAACUUAACAAGUGUUUUGACUUAAGCUUGAAAACUGAACUGACAGAAUGACACAUCGGGUGGAUGAUUGCUCUGUUGUAGUAAAAGCAUUUCAGUGCAGCCUGCAUAAUGGCUAGUUAGUAUAGCUGGCAGGUAGCUGUGUACAUAUUUAUCAGUAACCUUUUUUUACGCAGUUCAUGAUACUUGCAUGUUUAUUUACUGCUUUUAAUCUUUUUCAAGUGGGGAGGGGGGAUGUCUGUCUUGUCUGUAGUUUCUGUUUUGUGAGGUUUGUUGCCUUCUUGUACCAUUUCGGGGUAACUUCUAAGUUGAACAUGCUGUUGAAAUAAAGGAAAAAUAUGUGAUGAUCUGCCAUUUAGUGCAUGCUUAAAGAAACCAAGUUGCCACAGCAGUGCUUUUUCGAUCUUGCUUAUAGAAAGAGAUGAUGGCUACAGAAUAUGUUGUAGCCUGUGGUCCCUUUCAUGGAAGUACAGCAGUUGUCUGCUCAUGACCAGAUAUCACACUGGGAUGGGGGGGACUUUAGUGGGUGAUUGGCAAGAUUUUGCAGGGAAAGUGUUUUCUGGUGUCAAAAACAAUGUUCAAAAUGUUGCUGAUUCAGUUAUAUAACUGGGUUUUAUAUUUUAUGACAUGAUCCAGUCAAAACUCAAACGCUUCAUGCUGAAUAUUCCCUUGGAUUGUUCAUUGCUUGUACAGUAGGAUGAUCUAGUGUGCUUGCACUAGUUUGCUAACUGCUUUUCAUGGACCUUUGGUUGCAGGUGUGAUGUCCAGGCCUCAUAAAGCUACCCAGACCAUGAAAAAGCAUUUCCACCAUGCUGAAAGUUUAGAAUAUUUUUUUUAAGCACAGCUUGUCACUGUUACAGGCCAUCAUUCAGAUUCUACAUGAGGGUUCGGGCUGUGUAUUUUUUAUGAUUUACUAAACUGCUUCUUGGAAAAGCAUGUGCACCUAAAUUCAAAACUUGAAGAUCUGAUGUACCUGGCGUGAUGUCACAGACACAAAGUACAUAGUGCAUGUUAGAAAAUCAUUGCCAAGACAAUGGGAACUGGGAUUUUAAUUUUCACUUGAAAGCAAACAACAGCUAUGAUCACAAAUGUCCAGCUAGUAAAUAUUGUGUUAUUUGCUCAUAUUUUAGGACCUUGUAAUAAUGAAACCUAGUAAUUUGAAAUAAUUCUGCAAGUUUAGCUUUUAAAAAGAAAAAAGUAUAUAAAUCAUCCCUCCCCCACCAAAACAAAGACCAAACAGUUUUUGGAGGGUUAGAAGUAAGAAGUAUGUAAGAAGUGUGUGACUGCAUCAUGUUCAAGAUAAUCUUAAUUUCAAAAGCAAAGAUUAUUUGAUACCACGACAACAGCAAAAUGAAGCUGUAAUACCAACCCUUGGAUGACCAUAAUUUACAAGACAAUAAUACCUGCUGCCAAACAUCUGACUCUACUUGUGCUUUUUGAAAGACGAAAACUGACUUCUGAGAAAUAUCCCUUGACCACCAUUUGGCUGCAUGAUGCUACUGACAGUUGUUUGUAUAAGCUCCUGUUUAUAAAUAAAGCUUUAAUGCAGGAAAA